rnacentral:snoRNA from 1 species
AGGCUAUGAUGUGGGCACUUCCUCAAUAGGUCCUUGAAUCUCUCCCAAGCUUCAUACAAACUCUUUUGAUCAUGGUGGACAAAAGUCAUUAUCUCAUUGUGAAGCUU